rnacentral:rRNA from 1 species
GACGAACGCUGGCGGCGUGCUUUACACAUGCAAGUCGAACGGCAACACGGGGGCGAACCCUCGGUGGCGAGUGGCGAACGGGUGAGUAAUACAUAGGAACGUAUCCUGAAAUAGGGGGAGUAGCUCGGCGAAAGACCGGAUUAAUACCGCAUACGAUCUGCGGAUGAAAGACAGGGGAUUCGCAAGAACCUUGCGUUUCUGGAGCGGCCUAUGUCUGAUUAGCUAGUUGGCGGGGAAAAGACCCACCAAGGCGACGAUCAGUAGCUGGUCUGAGAGGAUGAUCAGCCACACUGGGACUGAGACACGGCCC